rnacentral:rRNA from 1 species
GGGUUAGUAGGUUGGUCAUGCCUCUGGUAUGUACUGGUCUCACUGAUUCCUCCUUCCUGAUGAGCCGUAAUGCCAUUAAUUUGGUGUUGCAGGGAAUCAGGACUGUUACUUUGAAAAAAUUAGAGUGUUUAAAGCAGGCUUAUUAGGCUUGAAUACAUUAGCAUGGAAUAAUGAAAUAGGACGUUUGAUUCUAUUUUGUUGGUUUCUAGGAUCGACGUA